rnacentral:rRNA from 1 species
AGCGUACACGGUGGAUGCCCUGGCAGUCAGAGGCGAUGAAGGACGUGCUAAUCUGCGAAAAGCGCCGGUAAGGUGAUAUGAACCGUUAUAACCGGCGAUGUCCGAAUGGGGAAACCCAGUGUGACUCGUCACACUAUCAUUAACUGAAUCCAUAGGUUAAUGAGGCGAACCGGGGGAACUGAAACAUCUAAGUACCCCGAGGAAAAGAAAUCAACCGAGAUUCCCCCAGUAGCGGCGAGCGAACGGGGAGGAGCCCAGAGCCUGAAUCAGCAUGUGUGUUAGUGGAAGCGUCUGGAAAGGCGCGCGAUACAGGGUGAGAGCCCCGUACACAAAAGCGCACAUGCUGUGAGCUCGAUGAGUAGGGCGGGACACGUGGUAUCCUGUCUGAAUAUGGGGGGACCAUCCUCCAAGGCUAAAUACUCCUGACUGACCGAUAGUGAACCAGUACCGUGAGGGAAAGGCGAAAAGAACCCCGGCGAGGGGAGUGAAACAGAACCUGAAACCGUGUACGUACAAGCAGUGGGAGCCUCUCUUUAUGGGGGGUGACUGCGUACCUUUUGUAUAAUGGGUCAGCGACUUAUAUUCUGUAGCAAGGUUAACCGCAUAGGGGAGCCGAAGGGAAACCGAGUCUUAAUUGGGCGUUAAGUUGCAGGGUAUAGACCCGAAACCCGGUGAUCUAGCCAUGGGCAGGUUGAAGGUUGGGUAACACUAACUGGAGGACCGAACCGACUAAUGUUGAAAAAUUAGCGGAUGACCUGUGGCUGGGGGUGAAAGGCCAAUCAAACCGGGAGAUAGCUGGUUCUCCCCGAAAGCUAUUUAGGUAGCGCCUCGUGAAUUCAUCUCCGGGGGUAGAGCACUGUUUCGGCUAGGGGGCCAUCCCGGCUUACCAACCCGAUGCAAACUGCGAAUACCGGAGAAUGUUAUCACGGGAGACACACGGCGGGUGCUAACGUCCGUCGUGAAGAGGGAAACAACCCAGACCGCCAGCUAAGGUCCCAAAGUCAUGGUUAAGUGGGAAACGAUGUGGGAAGGCCCAGACAGCCAGGAUGUUGGCUUAGAAGCAGCCAUCAUUUAAAGAAAGCGUAAUAGCUCACUGGUCGAGUCGGCCUGCGCGGAAGAUGUAACGGGGCUAAACCAUGCACCGAAGCUGCGGCAGCGACACUUUAGUGUUGUUGGGUAGGGGAGCGUUCUGUAAGCCGUUGAAGGUGUCCUGUGAGGGGUGCUGGAGGUAUCAGAAGUGCGAAUGCUGACAUAAGUAACGAUAAAGCGGGUGAAAAGCCCGCUCGCCGGAAGACCAAGGGUUCCUGUCCAACGUUAAUCGGGGCAGGGUGAGUCGACCCCUAAGGCGAGGCCGAAAGGCGUAGUCGAUGGGAAACGGGUUAAUAUUCCCGUACUUGGUGUUACUGCGAAGGGGGGACGGAGAAGGCUAUGUUGGCCGGGCGACGGUAGUCCCGGUUUAAGCGUGUAGGUGUGUGUUCCAGGUAAAUCCGGUUCACUUUAACACUGAGGCGUGAUGACGAGGCACCACGGUGCUGAAGCAACAAAUGCCCUGCUUCCAGGAAAAGCCUCUAAGCAUCAGGUAACAUCAAAUCGUACCCCAAACCGACACAGGUGGUCAGGUAGAGAAUACCAAGGCGCUUGAGAGAACUCGGGUGAAGGAACUAGGCAAAAUGGUGCCGUAACUUCGGGAGAAGGCACGCUGACACGUAGGUGAAGUGAUUUACUCAUGGAGCUGAAGUCAGUCGAAGAUACCAGCUGGCUGCAACUGUUUAUUAAAAACACAGCACUGUGCAAACACGAAAGUGGACGUAUACGGUGUGACGCCUGCCCGGUGCCGGAAGGUUAAUUGAUGGGGUCAGCGCAAGCGAAGCUCCUGAUCGAAGCCCCGGUAAACGGCGGCCGUAACUAUAACGGUCCUAAGGUAGCGAAAUUCCUUGUCGGGUAAGUUCCGACCUGCACGAAUGGCGUAAUGAUGGCCAGGCUGUCUCCACCCGAGACUCAGUGAAAUUGAACUCGCUGUGAAGAUGCAGUGUACCCGCGGCAAGACGGAAAGACCCCGUGAACCUUUACUAUAGCUUGACACUGAACAUUGAGCCUUGAUGUGUAGGAUAGGUGGGAGGCUUUGAAGCGUGGACGCCAGUCUGCGUGGAGCCGACCUUGAAAUACCACCCUUUAAUGUUUGAUGUUCUAACGUGGACCCGUAAUCCGGGUUGCGGACAGUGUCUGGUGGGUAGUUUGACUGGGGCGGUCUCCUCCUAAAGAGUAACGGAGGAGCACGAAGGUUGGCUAAUCCUGGUCGGACAUCAGGAGGUUAGUGCAAUGGCAUAAGCCAGCUUGACUGCGAGCGUGACGGCGCGAGCAGGUGCGAAAGCAGGUCAUAGUGAUCCGGUGGUUCUGAAUGGAAGGGCCAUCGCUCAACGGAUAAAAGGUACUCCGGGGAUAACAGGCUGAUACCGCCCAAGAGUUCAUAUCGACGGCGGUGUUUGGCACCUCGAUGUCGGCUCAUCACAUCCUGGGGCUGAAGUAGGUCCCAAGGGUAUGGCUGUUCGCCAUUUAAAGUGGUACGCGAGCUGGGUUUAGAACGUCGUGAGACAGUUCGGUCCCUAUCUGCCGUGGGCGCUGGAAGACUGAGGGGGGCUGCUCCUAGUACGAGAGGACCGGAGUGGACGCAUCACUGGUGUUCGGGUUGUCAUGCCAAUGGCACUGCCCGGUAGCUAAAUGCGGAAAAGAUAAGUGCUGAAAGCAUCUAAGCACGAAACUUGCCCCGAGAUGAGUCUUCCCUGAGACCUUGA